rnacentral:lncRNA from 8 species
UUCUCUUUUCGCGCGCUAAUCUCAUCAGUUACUAAUCCAAACUAGUAACGUCGAUGUGGCUGGCUAGCUAGAUGUAAAUAUUGACAAAUUGGAAAUUUACCACACAUGUUAUGGAGACAAGUUGUUUCUCUGAUAUUGACAAUGAGUCGGCGUCAAUUGUUGGUGAUUCUGAAGGAGAAGAAGAAAAAAAUCUUUACCUCGACAGAUUGAUGCUUGCAGAUUUGCUAGACUCGCCAUACUCCCAUAAUUUCUCCACACCACACACCAUCAAUGGCUGUACAGACGGGUUUUCUCCUCAGAUAGCGAUGUUGACUUGUAGACGUUUGGAUGGCUUGGACCAAGUGCGCCUCACACCUGAAAAGAUCCAAUCCCCAUUUUUGUCAAGGAGUUCUGGGAUUCCAGAUGACGAGAAGGGAAUGGACAGUAUUAUCGCUCAAGGACAUGAUGGAGAAGACAGUGAGGGGAUGAUAGAAGAGGAUCCCUCUGAGGGGUCAGUGUCAGAGAGUCCCUCACAGCACGUUGGGAGUGGUACCUCUACCAGACGUUUGAAGAGAGCAGCGACGGUAGCUAAGACACAGGGUGGCGGUGGUUGUGACCUCUCACAGAAGGAGAUAGGUGCAGAGCCCAAGAGACAGACCAGGCUGACUGACAGUCAGACACAGGGGAGUAGACAGACCAGACCAAUGGAAGAAAUCAGACCAACCAGGCAGAACGGAGGGACCAGACAGAAUGACAACCAGGCACAGGAGAACAAACAGGUAAAGGGAGUGAACAUCCUGAACACUUUUGCGUAAAAACAGUUUGAGGGUAGAUAAGAGUGCCAGUCUGUUUGUGAUGUCAUGUCAAAGAGUGACAAGGAGAUGGUGUGACAGCACAAACAGACUGGCACUCUGUCUAGUGAAAGGGUGCUUGAAGUCAACAGUAAACAAAGACUUCAAUUGCAAUUACAUUAAGUGAUUGCUGGUCCCCUGUUUUCAGGCCAGACAGAGCAGGGGCAACGACAGACAGAAUCAGGAGACCAGUAUACAGUUAAAGGGAACACUAUAGAGAUCCUAUUCAAUUAGGAUU